rnacentral:rRNA from 1 species
GUGCCAGCCGCCGCGGUAAUACGGAGGAUGCAAGCGUUAUCCGGAAUGAUUGGGCGUAAAGCGUCCGCAGGUGGCGAUGUAAGUCUGCUGUUAAAGAGUGAGGCUCAACCUCAUAAGAGCAGUGGAAACUACAUAGCUAGAGUACGUUCGGGGCAGAGGGAAUUCCUGGUGUAGCGGUGAAAUGCGUAGAGAUCAGGAAGAACACCAGUGGCGAAGGCGCUCUGCUAGGCCGUAACUGACACUGAGGGACGAAAGCUAGGGGAGCGAAUGGGAUUAGAUACCCCAGUAGUCCUAGCCGUAAACGAUGGAUACUAGGCGUGGCUUGUAUCGACCCGAGCCGUGCCGUAGCUAACGCGUUAAGUAUCCCGCCUGGGGAGUACGCCGGCAACGGUGAAACUCAAAGGAAUUGACGGGGGCCCGCACAAGCGGUGGAGUAUGUGGUUUAAUUCGAUGCAACGCGAAGAACCUUACCAAGGCUUGACAUGUCGCGAAUCUUCUUGAAAGGGAAGAGUGCCUUCGGGAGCGCGAACACAGGUGGUGCAUGGCUGUCGUCAGCUCGUGUCGUGUGAUGUUGGGUUAAGUCCCGCAACGAGCGCAACCCUCGUUUUUAGUUGCCAGCAUUAAGUUGGGCACUCUAGAGGGACUGCCGGUGACAAACCGGAGGAAGGUGGGGAUGACGUCAAGUCAGCAUGCCCCUUACGCCUUGGGCUACACACGUACUACAAUGCUCCGGACAGAGGGCAGCAAGCAUGCGAAUGCAAGCAAAUCCCGUAAACCGGAGCUCAGUUCAGAUCGCAGGCUGCAACUCGCCUGCGUGAAGGAGGAAUCGCUAGUAAUUGCAGGUCAGCAUACUGCAGUGAAUUCGUUCCCGGGCCUUGUACACACCGCCCGUCACACCAUGGAAGCUGGUAGUGCCCGAAGUCAUUACUCCAACCUUUCGGGGGGGAGGAUGCCUAAGGCAGGACUGGUGACUGGGGUGAAGUCGUAACAAGGUAACC